CCUACGGGAGGCAGCAGUGAGGAAUAUUGGUCAAUGGGCGCGAGCCUGAACCAGCCAAGUCGCGUGAAGGAAGACGGCCCUAUGGUUUGUAAACUUCUUUUAUAGGGGAAUAAAGUGAGGCACGUGUGCCUCUUUGCGUGUACCCUAUGAAUAAGCAUCGGCUAACUCCGUGCCAGCAGCCGCGGUAAUACGGAGGAUGCGAGCGUUAUCCGGAUUUAUUGGGUUUAAAGGGUGCGUAGGUGGGUGGUUAAGUCAGGUGUGAAAGUUUGGGGCUCAACCGUAAAAUUGCAAUUGAUACUGGCAGUCUAGAGUACAGUUGAGGUAGGCGGAAUUCGUGGUGUAGCGGUGAAAUGCUUAGAUAUCACGAAGAACUCCGAUUGCGAAGGCAGCUUACUAAACUGCCACUGACAUUGAUGCUCGAAAGUGUGGGUAUCAAACAGGAUUAGAUACCCCAGUAGUC
rnacentral:rRNA from 1 species